rnacentral:lncRNA from 1 species
UUUAUCUUUUGAAUAUUUAUUUAUUUUGUAAUUAACUUACUCUUUUUCCAAGCCUCUUUCCCUAAUAUCCAAAUUAUGUGGAAGUUGUUUCUACACAAUACCUGUUACAGGACAGCCAAUCACAGCAGCAGAAGAAAAUAUUGCUAGUAGAUAAACCUACCAAGUAUUAAGCAUUCAUGUUCACAGAAGGAAUAAAGUACAUAUUCACAGCUCCUUUCCUUAGCUGUAGAAAAAAAUGGAUGCAAAUUUUUCCCUUUCAAAAAGAGUUCAGAGUUGACAUUGUCACACAAAAAUUGACACUUCAAUGGUAUGAGCAAACUAAGUUUAAUCUAAACCUAGUUUACCAUUGCAUCAGAGGAAGAACAGUUUCAGUCUUUCCAGUAAACAAGUGCAGCAGAAGCUGUGUCUGUGUCACCAAGUAAUUCAGCACAAUAGGAGUGAACUCACAGAAUCAACAGUUGAUGUUCAACCUCUAUAUCUACAGUAUCUACAGCCUGGAAAUUUGAAGGCCAGGUUUAGUCUUAUCCUCCAGACAACCUCAACACAUAGGUGGUUUCAAGCUGCCUGAAGGAAACCUCUGCUAUGGAGUCACGUCCCCACUUGGAGCUGGAGGGAAUCUGGCACACGCCCAGAGCCCAGCUCCCCAGAAGGAAGUGAACUUGAGAGCACUGAAACUGCUUUGCCAGCCAAACUACCAUGUGGCAAGUGGGGAUGAGAGAUGGAUUUACUCCAAACUGCACAAACUCCAUCACUGCCGUAGGUGCAGCUGGAGUCAUCCCCUAAGGAGAACACAUAUAGCAGGAUGUCCAGCCUCACACAAUACCGAUAACCCUAGGCCAAAUGACGGUUCAAUAAUGAACUGCGUUACAGCGUUCCAACUGAACCAGCCAGCAGAAUUGUUACCAGCAUGUAGAGCAUAAGAAGCAGUAGUGAUGUAAUCAAAAUGACAAUGAUUUUAAAGUUUCAUUGUACCUGCAGUAUGAAUUUUAAGACAGACAUACAAAAAGGGGUGGCUCAGGAGAACCUGAAAGCAGAAUUGCCACUCCUCUUGCCAAUGGCCAGAAAUAAGCUAAAACUACUUGCAGAAGUUAAAAACUCCUUUGUAUAAAGGGGCACUGAGAUGCAUAAGACAUAAUACACUUCAUAAACACAAGCAUUUUACAAGUCCAUAUUACAAGCCAUAAUGUCCAGUACAUCAACAUUCUACAAUACAAAGUUUAUCUUUAUAUUUAAAAUAGAAUGUAAACAAAUAGUCAUUCACAUUAAGACAACUGCCACAGCAAUAU